rnacentral:tRNA from 1 species
UGGGCUGUAGCCAAGGGGUAAGGCAACGGACUUUGACUCCGUCAUUCCGCUGGUUCAAAUCCAGCCAGCCCAGCCA